UACGUAGGGUGCGAGCGUUAAUCGGAAUUACUGGGCGUAAAGCGUGCGCAGGCGGUUAUGUAAGACAGUUGUGAAAUCCCCGGGCUCAACCUGGGAACUGCAUCUGUGACUGCAUAGCUAGAGUACGGUAGAGGGGGAUGGAAUUCCGCGUGUAGCAGUGAAAUGCGUAGAUAUGCGGAGGAACACCGAUGGCGAAGGCAAUCCCCCUGGACCUGUACUGACGCUCAUGCACGAAAGCGUGGGGAGCAAACAGG
rnacentral:rRNA from 1 species